GAUGAACGCUGGCGGCGUGCCUAAUACAUGCAAGUCGAGCGAACGGACGAGAAGCUUGCUUCUCUGAUGUUAGCGGCGGACGGGUGAGUAACACGUGGAUAACCUACCUAUAAGACUGGGAUAACUUCGGGAAACCGUAGCUAAUACCGGAUAAUAUUUUGAACCGCAUGGUUCAAAAGUGAAAGGCGGUCUUGCUGUCACUUAUAGAUGGAUCCGCGCUGCAUUAGCUAGUUGGUAAGGUAACGGCUUACCAAGGCAACGAUGCAUAGCCGACCUGAGAGGGUGAUCGGCCACACUGGAACUGAGACACGGUCCAGACUCCUACGGGAGGCAGCAGUAGGGAAUCUUCCGCAAUGGGCGAAAGCCUGACGGAGCAACGCCGCGUGAGUGAUGAAGGUCUUCGGAUCGUAAAACUCUGUUAUUAGGGAAGAACAUAUGUGUAAGUAACUGUGCACAUCUUGACGGCACCUAAUCAGAAAGCCACGGCUAACUACGUG
rnacentral:rRNA from 1 species